rnacentral:misc_RNA from 1 species
GACGAACCGUGCAAACGUUGUUCGGAAUCACUGGGCUUAAAGGGCGCGUAGGCGGUUUGCCAAGUCUGGGGUGAAAUCCUUCGGCUUAACCGGAAAAGUGCCUUGGAUACUGGCAGGCUAGAGGGAGGUAGGGGCAGAUGGAACUUCCGGUGGAGCGGUGAAAUGCGUUGAUAUCGGAAGGAACGCCGGUGGCGAAAGCGAUCUGCUGGACCUCUUCUGACGCUGAGGCGCGAAAGCUAGGGGAGCAAACAGG